CGCUGGCGGCGUGCCUAUACAUGCAAGUCGAACGGUCGUUUCUAUGGAAGCUUGCUUCCACUGAGAAGAUAGUGGCGAACGGGUGAGGUAACACGUGGGUAACCUGCCCAUAAGAGGGGGAGUAACAUCCGGAAACGGGUGCUAAUACCGCAUAGUUUUCUUGAUCGCAUGAUCGGGAAAGGAAAGACGGCCUUUGUGCUGUCGCUUAUGGAUGGACCCGCGGCGUAUUAGUUAGUUGGUGAGGUAACGGCUCACCAAGACGAUGAUACGUAGCCGACCUGAGAGGGUGAUCGGCCACAUUGGGACUGAGACACGGCCCAAACUCCUACGGGAGGCAGCAGUAGGGAAUCUUCCGCAAUGGACGAAAGUCUGACGGAGCAACGCCGCGUGAGUGAAGAAAAGGUUUUCGGAUCGUAAAACUCUGUUGUCAGAGAAGAACAAGUUGGAGAGUAACUGCUCCAGCCUUGACGGUAUCUGACCAGAAAGCCACGGCUAACUACGUGCCAGCCGCUGC
rnacentral:rRNA from 1 species